rnacentral:piRNA from 1 species
UGGGAUCCAGAGUUGAAGACCCUUCAGCUG